GACGAACGCUGGCGGCGUGCUUAACACAUGCAAGUCGAACGAAGUGGCGAACGGGUGAGUAAUACGUGGGUAACCUGCCCUCCUUUUUGGGAUAAGCCUUGGAAACGGGGUCUACUACCGAAUAAAGGGGGCUGGGCUCGCGGCCUAUCAGCUGGUUGGUGGGGUGAUGGCCUACCAAGGCGGUGACGGGUAGCCGGCCUGAGAGGGUAACCGGGCACAUUGGGACUGUGAAGACGCCCAGACUCCGACGGGGGGGAGCAGUGGGGGAUAUUGGACAAUGGGCGAAAGCCUGAUGCAGCGACGGCGAGGGAGGGAUGAAGGUUGUAGGGUUGUAAAACUCUGUCGCUAGCGAACCGGUAGGUGGAGAAGAAGCGCCGGCUAACUACGUGCCAGCAGCCGCGGUAAUUC
rnacentral:rRNA from 1 species